UUUAUAUGGGAAUAAAGUGAGCCACGUGUGGCUUUUUGUAUGUACCAUACGAAUAAGGAUCGGCUAACUCCGUGCCAGCAGCCGCGGUAAUACGGAGGAUCCAAGCGUUAUCCGGAUUUAUUGGGUUUAAAGGGAGCGUAGGCGGAUUAUUAAGUCAGUUGUGAAAGUUUGCGGCUCAACCGUAAAAUUGCAGUUGAUACUGGUAGUCUUGAGUGCAGCAGAGGUAGGCGGAAUUCGUGGUGUAGCGGUGAAAUGCUUAGAUAUCACGAAGAACUCCGAUUGCGAAGGCAGCUUACUGGACUGUAACUGACGCUGAUGCUCGAAAGUGUGGGUAUCAAACAGGAUUAGAUACCCUGGUAGUCCACACAGUAAACGAUGAAUACUCGCUGUUUGCGAUAUACAGCAAGCGGCCAAGCGAAAGCAUUAAGUAUUCCACCUGGGGAGUACG
rnacentral:rRNA from 1 species